ACAUGCAAGUCGAGCGGAAAGGCUCCUUCGGGGGUACUCGAGCGGCGAACGGGUGAGUAACACGUGAGUAAUCUGCCCUUGGCUUUGGGAUAACUACCGGAAACGGUGGCUAAUACCGGAUACGACCACUCCUUGCAGGAGGUGGUGGUGGAAAGUUUUUUCGGCCAGGGAUGUGCUCGCGGCCUAUCAGCUUGUUGGUGGGGGUAAUGGGCCUACCAAGGCUUCGACGGGUAGCCGGCCUGAGAGGGUGACCGGCCACACUGGGACUGAGACACGGCCCAGACUCCUACGGGAGGCAGCAGUGGGGAAUAUUGGACAAUGGGCGGAAGCCUGAUCCAGCAACGCCGCGUGAGGGAUGACGGCCUUCGGGUUGUAAACCUCUUUCAGUACCGACGAAGCGCCGAUGAUGGUGGUGACGGUAGGUACAGAAGAAGCACCGGCCAACUACGUG
rnacentral:rRNA from 1 species